rnacentral:rRNA from 1 species
AUUCUGGCUCAGGAUGAACGCUAGCUACAGGCUUAACACAUGCAAGUCGAGGGGUAACAGGAGAGAAGCUUGCUUUCUGCUGACGACCGGCGCACGGGUGAGUAACGCGUAUCCAACCUUCCCCUAGUAGCGGAUAGCCCGGCGAAAGUCGGAUUAAUACGCUAUGUUCUCGUUGAUGGCAUCUGAUGUGAAGCAAAGAUUUAUCGCUAAGGGAUGGGGAUGCGUCUGAUUAGGUAGUCGGCGGGGUAACGGCCCACCGAGCCAUCGAUCAGUAGGGGUUCUGAGAGGAAGGUCCCCCACACUGGUACUGAGACACGGACCAGACUCCUACGGGAGGCAGCAGUGAGGAAUAUUGGUCAAUGGGCGCGAGCCUGAACCAGCCAAGUAGCGUGCAGGAAUGACUGCCCUAUGGGUUGUAAACUGCUUUUAUCAGGGAAUAAAGUCGAGGCCACGUGUGCCUUUUUGUAUGUACCUGAUGAAUAAGGACCGGCUAAUUCCGUGCCAGCCGCAGC